UGGGUUUUAAAAGGGUCCGUAGGCGGAUCCGUAAGUCAGUGGUGAAAUCUCAUAGCUUAACUAUGAAACUGCCAUUGAUACUGCGGGUCUUGAGUAAGGUAGAAGUAGCUGGAAUAAGUAGUGUAGCGGUGAAAUGCAUAGAUAUUACUUAGAACACCAAUUGCGAAGGCAGGUUACUAUGUCUUAACUGACGCUGAUGGACGAAAGCGUGGGGAGCGAACAGGAUUAGAUACCCUGGUAGUCCACGCCGUAAACGAUGCUAACUCGUUUUUGGGCUUUCGGGUUCAGAGACUAAGCGAAAGUGAUAAGUUAGCCACCUGGGGAGUACGAACGCAAGUUUGAAACUCAAAGGAAUUGACGGGGGCCCGCACAAGCGGUGGAUUAUGUGGUUUAAUUCGAUGAUACGCGAGGAACCUUACCAAGACUUAAAUGGGAAUUGAUCGGUUUAGAAAUAGGCCUUCCUUCGGGCAAUUUUCAAGGUGCUGCAUGGUUGUCGUCAGCUCGUGCCGUGAGGUGUUAGGUUAAGUCCUGCAACGAGCGCAACCCCUGUCACUAGUUGCCAUCAUUAAGUUGGGGACUCUAGUGAGACUGCCUACGCAAGUAGAGAGGAAGGUGGGGAUGACGUCAAAUCAUCACGGCCCUUACGUCUUGGGCCACACACGUAAUACAAUGGCCGGUACAGAGGGCAGCUACACAGCGAUGUGAUGCAAAUCUCGAAAGCCGGUCUCAGUUCGGAUUGGAGUCUGCAACUCGACUCUAUGAAGCUGGAAUCGCUAGUAAUCGCGCAUCAGCCAUGGCGCGGUGAAUACGUUCCCGGGCCUUGU
rnacentral:rRNA from 1 species